rnacentral:piRNA from 1 species
AGGCAUGAUGAAACUAAACUGAUG